rfam:TPA: Bos taurus chromosome 11, whole genome shotgun sequence.
UCCCCAGUGGUCCAGUGGUUAAGACUCUGAGCUUUCAACACAGGGAGCACAAGUUCGAUCCCUGGCUGGGGAA